GGGGCCAUAGUUCAACGGUAGAACGGGGCCUUUGCAAGGCUCAGAUCGGGGUUCGAUUCCCCGUGGCUCCACCA
rnacentral:tRNA from 5 species